rnacentral:lncRNA from 1 species
UAUUCAGAGCUAUGGUUGUAAGAUUCUUUUUUUUUUUUUCUAAAUUCCGUGUUGUUCAUAAUGUUCUUGAUUGUCUUGAAUGUUUAUCGAUUGAUUUUGUGUUUUUUUGUCUUUUUGUUGGUUCAAAUUAAUUGUUCUUACUUGAACCUUCAUGUAUGUGCUUUUAGGUGUUCUUGUGUGUGUGCUUUUGAAUUUUUUGAGUUUUCUUCAAAUUUGUUCGGUGAAAUUUUCAUAUAAUUGAGUCAUUUUGAUUUUAUAACCAUAUAUGUUUAGUCAAAAUUUGUCAUAAAUAUAAUUGAGUCAUUUUGAUUUUAUAAUCAUAUAUGUUUAGUCAAAAUUUGUCAUAAACAUUUUGAAUUUUUUUUCAAAUUUCUUCACAGAUUAGAGCUCUUUAGUGCUUUUGAUUUUCAUUUUUGAGUUCAUAAAUUGCUACUAGAUCAUUAGCAAUUUUCUUUGAGUUAGGUUUCCAUUAUUAUUCUCUCAAAAUUCAUUUUCGAAAAUUCUCGAAAAAAUUUCCGAAAAUUGUUCGUGGUUCUAAAAGAAAUUUCCAGGUGUGAAGAGUAAUUUGGAUUUGUUUGUGAGAUCUCAUUCGAUCUGUGGUGCGAAUAGCAGUUCUGAAUCCGUUUGUAUUGUCAAAAUUUCACGAAAAUCUGUUGCACGUUCACGUUCACGUUCAUAUGCGUUUUCAAUCCGUUCAUCUUGUUCUUCAUUCUUGAUGUGAUUUUGAAAACGUGUGAGCAGAGUUUGGUGCGAAGGUGAGAAACAUAAGUUUGACGAAGAAUUUGUUCGGUGUGAAAUCUAAUUGAAGCGGUGUGGUGUUGGAGGAAUCACAAACGGAGGUGUUUUGCGGUUUUUGGCAAACGAAAUUGGUGUAAGGAGGUUUUGCGGCUUCCGGCGAACAUAAUCAGUGGACAGAGGUUUUUGCGGUUUCCAGUGACCUAAAUCAGCGAGGAGUUGUGUUUUCCGGCGACCUAAAUCGUUGAAACUGUGAGUUUCCGGUGCGUUUUCAUCUACAUUCUUCAUUCUCUGAAACGAUUUUUAAAUCAAGUGAUUGGAGAACACUGAAUGAGAUAUUGCGGUAAGGAGAUUUGAACCGCCGAAAUCAGAAUUUGCUUGAGAUUUGGUGCGUUGCUGGAAGAAUCAGUAACAGAGGAGUUUCAAUUUUCCGGCGAAAUCGGUUAACGGAGAAGACGAUCGAUUUGAAGCGAUUUGCUGGAGAAUUUGAGAUUCAGGGAGCACGAACUAAAAAGGAACUGUAGUGUUUCGUAUGAAUUGAUUCAUUGCAGCCAAGGUGUUUGUUCAUAAGCAUGAAUUAGAAUCGUGUGAGCUGAAGGUGUAGCGAAGUCCAGUGGCAUUCAGUUUCUGUGAAUUGAAGAGGUGCGUUCAAUUACAUUUACGUGCAAUUUUAAUUACAAUUGUUCUGUUCUGUUAAUCUUCGAAAUAAGAGAAGUUGAGUAGUGGAGUGGUUGAUCUGAGACGGUGUAAUUUUGAUUCAGUGUAGUUUGUGUUGAGUAGUUGGAAUAGGCAUUCCAUCAAACACUUUGGUGUUCUAUACUGAAUUGAAGGAUUUCCUGUGGUGAUUCAAUUGGACCAACAACUAAUUCAACAUAAACAAGUUAUUGGCAAUUGAUUUAACAGUGUAGUAAUUGUUUUGAUGUAGAUUUGGGUGCAGAAGUUUUAUGGUUUGGCUAUUUUGGUACAAAAUCCUGCACAUAAUUGGUGUAUAUUGUUGAAUAGUUCGCAGCUGCACAAUUUUAAUCUUUUGAUUAGUGUAAUUUGGUGGUAUAAUUUUGUGCAUUGAAACUGUUUAUGAAUUGAUCACGAUGUUGUGAUGUAGUAUGAUGACUUGAAUUGUUUGCAUCAUUUGGUUCAUAAUUGGUGUUUAUGAUGCAAUGCUUAAUUGAGUAAAAUUCCGGUGCAUAAUUGGUUGGUGUAUUGAUCCAGAGAUUUAAUUAAAAUUGCCUCAUUGAAUGCAAGAAAAGUGAGAUAGAGAAAGCAAAGUGCGUAAACUAAAUUGGUUCAAUUUUGUUGAAGCAAGAAUUUUACUGGUGCAAGUCUUGAUGCAGAAUUUUCCGGUUUAGCUUGUGAAAUUGGCAAAGUGAAGCUGUUGGUGAAUUUUGAAAUUGUAAUUGACAAGCGUAGGUCUUCAUACUAGCUGUUCUGAUUCAGAUUUGAUUGCUUGAAAUUGUUGAUCAUUUUGUGGCAGAUUUUAAUUAAAUAAAAAAAAGUAUGUCUGCAUUUGAAUUCAAUUUGUGAAUUACAAAUUCAUUGAAGCUGAUGCAGUGAAUUGUGGGGUCCGUAAAUUUGAAGAAUUUGAUGAGAAAUGGUGUGCCGAAGGUGCAGCGUGAAUCAAGUACUACCAAGGUGUGCAAUUAAUUGAAGAAAUUAAAGUAGAAUCAGUGAAAGCAAAUUGGAAAUUGUUGAAUCGGUGAAAGCGUGAUUGUGGGUGCUUUUAACUAACCAAAAAUUACUUAUGUGUUGAGUAAUUAGAAGUGUGUAUUGGCAGCUACUGGAAUUUGCAAUCACACGGUGGGACCCAUGCUUUAAAGUUAAAUGCAAUUUGUUGAAUAAUAAGGGAGCGUAAAUUUUGGUGAGAAAUUUGGCAAUUGGAGUUCCUUAGCACGGGACCUGCGAGAAUUGAGUUCUUUGGACCAAGCUAUAUUGGGCAACAACAUUUUGGAUUUCAUGGUCUACUAAGAAUUUUCAUCAUUCUUUGUUUUAAUUUUGUAAUCCAUUCUAGUGUCUAUCUUUAGGUGUUUUCUUUUGAGUGCCUAUUUUCUUGAAAACUUUUAAUUUUUUGCUUGUCUUGAUUUUAUGGAUAAUCUUUGUGUUUGUCAUCUCUAAUCUCCUUUGAGUUUGACUCUUCAAAUUGAGCUUUUAUUGCUUUUAUUAUUGACCUCUUGAAGUGGAAUAUACCUUGAAUUUGUUCUUUGUGAGAAUUGAGCUAACUUCUAGGUAGCAUCCUAAGAGAAGGAAAAAGACUUUGCAAGGGGUACUCACCUUUGGAGGACAAACAAGUAAAGGCUUGGAGAGAAACACUUGUGAGAGAAGAGAAGAAAACUUUGAAGAUUUUUUUUUUUUAAAAUUUUGUGUGAUUUCAAUUGUUUUGUAAUUUGGCCAUUAUCUUUACUUUAGGUGUCUUGGAAGAGCCUUUGGUGUUCUUCCAUCUCCUACAAGUUUUCUUUAAUUUUCUUAUUAGAUACACGCUUUAGACGGUGAGUGUGUCUUGAAGGUUCACAAGUGCCAACAAUCCUCACCAUUAGGAGUCGUCUAGUUUAAAUUUUUGCAAUUUAAAUUCUUAGUUUUUAAAAACAUUAUUUUAGUUUCUUUCUUUAGAAAACUCUUUGUUUGUGUUGAAGAAGUUUUCAUUGGAAGGAGAUUUGUGAAGUGCAUUGGGAUAAGUUCUGGCUAGGAAAGACUUGGUACUUAAGAGUGUCCAUUGUGACUCACCUCUCUUUCCUGGGAAUUUACCUUGUGUGCUAAACUCACUUUCCUUCUUGUGAAAAAUCUUUUAAAUACAAAGCUUAAUAUGUCUAUGUAUACUUAUCAUCAUAGUAGAAAAAAGAUUUAUAACCCUCAUUAUCAAAAAAAGGAAGGGAUGCGUUUUGAGCCUAGAAGUUUAUAUUAUUCUACCGAGCCUGAAGUAUACAUUCCUUACUUUGAUGGAAAUAAAAAUGUUGAAGCAUAUUUAGAAUGGGAAACAAAAGUUGAUCAAAUCUUUGAAAAACAAAUUGGAUGAAUUUAGCAGAUUUUCCAUGGCUACCCUAAGUUUUCAAGAAUAUGCUAGGUCUUGGUGGACAAAAAGGGAAAUUGAUGUUAUAAAUGGCAGAAAAUCAGAAGUACUUAAUUGGGAUGAGUUGAAGAUGUGUAUGAGAAGAAAGUAUGUUCCACCUUCAUAUGUGAAAAAGAAAAAGCUUAGAGAAGAAAUGAAAGAGCUUGUAGAAAAAGGAAGAAAUUGUAUAUACAGAGAAAAAGAAUGUUAGAAGAGAAAAGGAGUUUAGAGAAAAAUUCCAAGCUCUUGUCAGAAAGAAAGAAGAGAAGGAGAAAAAGGAAAGUACAAAAAACUCUUUUUCUGGAGUUGAAUCAGAUAUCGAUAACAUUUUAUCUUCUCUAGAAAACCCUUGUGAGGAUAUGCUUGAAGAAAAAUCUAUGUUUGGAGUUGAACCAGAUAUAAAUAUAAAUAUUUCCUCCACAAAAAAUACAGAAGAAUGUUUGAUUGAAAAGGAAGAAGAGCAAACCCACAAAGAAGAAGAGCCUUUUAUGACACCCCCUCAAAGCAUGGCUGAGAAAGAAUCCUUAAAGGGGGAUUACAAUACUUUGAACUCUUCUUUUCAAUUAUAUAAUGCUCAUUCUUCUUUACAAAAAUAUAAAAAGCUAAACUUUGUGAUGUUGUUGCCUAGCGUGGAAUAUAAACAACACAAAGUGAACAAAAAUAUUUUUGAAAGGGGCCUUAUGUUUUUCUUUAAAAAGAAAUUUAAAGAUAAAAGGCCUUAUUUUUGUUUAGUUUUCUUUUGUUUUAAUUUUCUUUUAGAAAAGAAAUUUAUCUCAUGUUUGUUUGAUGUUGUUUAUUAUAGAUUGACAUUUGACCCAGGAGGAAAACAUCAAAUAAAUAGAGGCUGUUGUCAUUGAGCAUCAUUCAGAUCUGAGGACAGAUCCUUCUCAAGAGGGAGGGGAUGAUGGAAACCGUCCAACCUCAAAACUUUCGGCCAAGAAGAUAGACGAAGAUCGAGUUUUAAUGAAGAGUUUGUAAAGUCUUUUUCUUCUUCUUAGCCUUGUAAAAAUUGUAUAGAGUAGUUAGGAAGUUUUGGGCCUUGUAUUUUGGGCCAAAGUAGAGAAAGAUGUAAAUAGAAAACAAAGUAAUGUGUAAAAUAGUAAAAGACGGGUGCAAAUAGAAAUGUAGGCAAGGAAGGCAUGAGUCUCCACAUGUCUUCUCCUUAAUGGAGAGGAUUUGCACCAAUAAGGUGGUGACACUUGUCACACUCUCAUUUGAGAGUUUUUGAGAGACUUUAUCCUAUAAAUAGGAGUCUCUUAUACAUGUAUUUCUUUAACUUGGAAUUAGUAAUGAAAUGCUGCCUAGUUUUGGCCA